AUUUUAUUUCAAUUUAUGGCACUUUGCCAAAAAAGCUUGACACAUCAUUUUAUAAAAGUGAUACUACUAAUUUCAUCACAUUUCAAAGUUUUCAGCUAUAGCGUUUCAUUCAAUAAAAAAUGAAAGAAGUUGUGAUACUCCUGUUACUGAUAAGUAUUGCUUCAGUAAAUGGUAAUUGCCUAUCGAUGUGUGUUGAUAACUCAAACUGCCCAACACUACACUGCUCUGAUAAUGAAACACCUCAAAUACACAAUUGUGAUUGUUGCCCUACAUGUCGACCGAAACUAAGUACAUCCUGAGAAUGGCAAAUUCAUUUUCUGAAAAAAAGAAGGAAAACCAUUCCAAAUAUCAUGGAAAAAUCUGUUAAUAAAGUACAAAUAAUAAUAACAUUGAUUUUACUAAUUUUUUUAUUAGUAUAAUUACCAUGGUCAAAAAACCGUAAAACACUAUGGAACAUGUCCAAUUAUAGUAUUAUAAAAUAAAUAUUACACAUUUGAAAGGA